rnacentral:rRNA from 1 species
GGUUAAGCGACUAAGCGUACACGGUGGAUGCCCUGGCAGUCAGAGGCGAUGAAGGACGUGCUAAUCUGCGAUAAGCGUCGGUAAGGUGAUAUGAACCGUUAUAACCGGCGAUUUCCGAAUGGGGAAACCCAGUGUGAUUCGUCACACUAUCAUUAACUGAAUCCAUAGGUUAAUGAGGCGAACCGGGGGAACUGAAACAUCUAAGUACCCCGAGGAAAAGAAAUCAACCGAGAUUCCCCCAGUAGCGGCGAGCGAACGGGGAGCAGCCCAGAGCCUGAAUCAGUGUGUGUGUUAGUGGAAGCGUCUGGAAAGGCGCGCGAUACAGGGUGACAGCCCCGUACACAAAAAUGCACAUGCUGUGAGCUCGAUGAGUAGGGCGGGACACGUGGUAUCCUGUCUGAAUAUGGGGGGACCAUCCUCCAAGGCUAAAUACUCCUGACUGACCGAUAGUGAACCAGUACCGUGAGGGAAAGGCGAAAAGAACCCCGGCGAGGGGAGUGAAAAAGAACCUGAAACCGUGUACGUACAAGCAGUGGGAGCACGCUUAGGCGUGUGACUGCGUACCUUUUGUAUAAUGGGUCAGCGACUUAUAUUCUGUAGCAAGGUUAACCGAAUAGGGGAGCCGAAGGGAAACCGAGUCUUAACUGGGCGUUAAGUUGCAGGGUAUAGACCCGAAACCCGGUGAUCUAGCCAUGGGCAGGUUGAAGGUUGGGUAACACUAACUGGAGGACCGAACCGACUAAUGUUGAAAAAUUAGCGGAUGACUUGUGGCUGGGGGUGAAAGGCCAAUCAAACCGGGAGAUAGCUGGUUCUCCCCGAAAGCUAUUUAGGUAGCGCCUCGUGAAUUCAUCUCCGGGGGUAGAGCACUGUUUCGGCAAGGGGGUCAUCCCGACUUACCAACCCGAUGCAAACUGCGAAUACCGGAGAAUGUUAUCACGGGAGACACACGGCGGGUGCUAACGUCCGUCGUGAAGAGGGAAACAACCCAGACCGCCAGCUAAGGUCCCAAAGUCAUGGUUAAGUGGGAAACGAUGUGGGAAGGCCCAGACAGCCAGGAUGUUGGCUUAGAAGCAGCCAUCAUUUAAAGAAAGCGUAAUAGCUCACUGGUCGAGUCGGCCUGCGCGGAAGAUGUAACGGGGCUAAACCAUGCACCGAAGCUGCGGCAGCGACGCUUAUGCGUUGUUGGGUAGGGGAGCGUUCUGUAAGCCUGUGAAGGUGUGCUGUGAGGCAUGCUGGAGGUAUCAGAAGUGCGAAUGCUGACAUAAGUAACGAUAAAGCGGGUGAAAAGCCCGCUCGCCGGAAGACCAAGGGUUCCUGUCCAACGUUAAUCGGGGCAGGGUGAGUCGACCCCUAAGGCGAGGCCGAAAGGCGUAGUCGAUGGGAAACAGGUUAAUAUUCCUGUACUUGGUGUUACUGCGAAGGGGGGACGGAGAAGGCUAUGUUGGCCGGGCGACGGUUGUCCCGGUUUAAGCGUGUAGGCUGGUUUUCCAGGCAAAUCCGGAAAAUCAAGGCUGAGGCGUGAUGACGAGGCACUACGGUGCUGAAGCAACAAAUGCCCUGCUUCCAGGAAAAGCCUCUAAGCAUCAGGUAACAUCAAAUCGUACCCCAAACCGACACAGGUGGUCAGGUAGAGAAUACCAAGGCGCUUGAGAGAACUCGGGUGAAGGAACUAGGCAAAAUGGUGCCGUAACUUCGGGAGAAGGCACGCUGAUAUGUAGGUGAAGUCCCUUGCGGAUGGAGCUGAAAUCAGUCGAAGAUACCAGCUGGCUGCAACUGUUUAUUAAAAACACAGCACUGUGCAAACACGAAAGUGGACGUAUACGGUGUGACGCCUGCCCGGUGCCGGAAGGUUAAUUGAUGGGGUUAGCCGCAAGGCGAAGCUCUUGAUCGAAGCCCCGGUAAACGGCGGCCGUAACUAUAACGGUCCUAAGGUAGCGAAAUUCCUUGUCGGGUAAGUUCCGACCUGCACGAAUGGCGUAAUGAUGGCCAGGCUGUCUCCACCCGAGACUCAGUGAAAUUGAACUCGCUGUGAAGAUGCAGUGUACCCGCGGCAAGACGGAAAGACCCCGUGAACCUUUACUAUAGCUUGACACUGAACAUUGAGCCUUGAUGUGUAGGAUAGGUGGGAGGCUUUGAAGUGUGGACGCCAGUCUGCAUGGAGCCGACCUUGAAAUACCACCCUUUAAUGUUUGAUGUUCUAACGUUGACCCGUAAUCCGGGUUGCGGACAGUGUCUGGUGGGUAGUUUGACUGGGGCGGUCUCCUCCUAAAGAGUAACGGAGGAGCACGAAGGUUGGCUAAUCCUGGUCGGACAUCAGGAGGUUAGUGCAAUGGCAUAAGCCAGCUUGACUGCGAGCGUGACGGCGCGAGCAGGUGCGAAAGCAGGUCAUAGUGAUCCGGUGGUUCUGAAUGGAAGGGCCAUCGCUCAACGGAUAAAAGGUACUCCGGGGAUAACAGGCUGAUACCGCCCAAGAGUUCAUAUCGACGGCGGUGUUUGGCACCUCGAUGUCGGCUCAUCACAUCCUGGGGCUGAAGUAGGUCCCAAGGGUAUGGCUGUUCGCCAUUUAAAGUGGUACGCGAGCUGGGUUUAGAACGUCGUGAGACAGUUCGGUCCCUAUCUGCCGUGGGCGCUGGAGAACUGAGGGGGGCUGCUCCUAGUACGAGAGGACCGGAGUGGACGCAUCACUGGUGUUCGGGUUGUCAUGCCAAUGGCACUGCCCGGUAGCUAAAUGCGGAAGAGAUAAGUGCUGAAAGCAUCUAAGCACGAAACUUGCCCCGAGAUGAGUUCUCCCUGACUCCUUGAGAGUCCUGAAGGAACGUUGAAGACGACGACGUUGAUAGGCCGGGUGUGUAAGCGCAGCGAUGCGUUGAGCUAACCGGUACUAAUGAACCGUGAGGCUUAACCUU